UACGUAGGGGGCGAGCGUUGUCCGAAGUUACUGGGCGUAAAGCGCGUGUAGGCGGCUUGGCAAGUUGAAUGUGAAGGCCCACGGCUCAACCGUGGAAGCGCAUCCAAAACUGCUUCGCUGGAGUCUCGGAGAGGAAGGUGGAAUGCUUGGUGUAGAGGUGAAAUUCGUAGAUAUCAAGCAGAACACCUGCGGCGAAGGCGGCCUUCUGGACGAUGACUGACGCUGAGACGCGAAAGCGUGGGGAGCAAACAGG
rnacentral:rRNA from 1 species